CUAUACAUCAGAAUAAUGUGGACCAGAGCGGUGUGGAGAGAGGAAACCAUGGAGAUGGAGGAAGUGAUACCAUCAUGUUGGGUUAAGAAUGGUGGUGUAUUGUGGCCUACACAAGGGGCUGCGAGAGCGUUGAAGGCCUGCAAAGAACCAGAAGAGUCAUGGACGAAAUUCCCGUUCAUAAAAAUUAAGAUUCAGUCAGAUGACAAGAAUGAAUGCGAGAAGUAUGAUUUUACUACAACUGCUGAAUUGAGUGUCUCAGAAGAGGAGUUACCGAUGAAGAGGAGGCCCCAAA